UACGUAGGGUGCGAGCGUUAAUCGGAAUUACUGGGCGUAAAGCGUGCGCAGGCGGCUUGAUAAGUCAGAUGUGAAAUCCCCGAGCUCAACUUGGGAACUGCGUUUGGAACUGUCAGACUAGAGUGCGUCAGAGGGGGGUGGAAUUCCGCGUGUAGCAGUGAAAUGCGUAGAGAUGCGGAGGAACACCGAUGGCGAAGGCAGCCCCCUGGGAUGACACUGACGCUCAUGCACGAAAGCGUGGGGAGCAAACAGG
rnacentral:rRNA from 1 species